GUUCUCUGUCACUUCCUUGUAUAGCAGCUUGCUCUCUCAUGUUUUCCCUCAUGCAUUAACCCAGUUUGUUGUUUGAUACUCAUCUGCCUUUGGCUAAUUCACACAGAUUUUUUGUGUUUUGUGUUUUGGACAGAUUCCUGGACUCCGAUCUUUCACCUGCUCCUCUUGGAUUUGUUUGUUUGGACGUUUGCCUGCAUCACCUCCCUACAUCUUGCCAGGGAGUCUCAAGAAGUUUGCUCCUCUGUGUUUGAUUGGGAGAGGGAGGCACAGUCGUGUAGAAGUGGAGCAAUCUGUGGUUGGUGUCCCAUCCAUUUUCCACUCGGAUGAAGAUGGCGCAGGGGAAGCUAUUGGUGGUCGAGGUGGUGUGUGGUGGCAGAGGAGGGAGGGCGGGCGAUUUGGAGAACGCGCCAAGCCCAAAAUUAAGAUGACAGCAAUGACAAGGCUCAAUGCCGAACAGAUCUAUCCCGCUGAUGCAGGCUGCAAGCUUAACAACCCAUGUAGGCUCCAUCUCUGUGAGAUGUGUGUGUGCUUGUGCGUGUUUGAUGUAGCGUACAAUAUGUGCGCCUGUUGACAAGAUCAUGGAGACUCAGUGUCAAACUUGACAGCUGAUUGCAGGCUGGAGUAAACACCUGGCAUCACGCUUGUCUACAGCUGAGCCUUUUGCUUAAGUCCAAAAGUUUAUUUUCUUGAAUUAAAAGCAGUUGUCCCAACCUUAUUUUUUCAGAUAUCCCCCUGUCGAUACAACGCCUUCAUAAAUACCAUUUAUAUGUAACAUUUAAAUAACUGUUUUAACUGUCUUAUACAAAGCAUUUAGCUAACUACUAUUUUAUGUAUUGCGAUCAAUUGGCUAUUUAAUGCAUUGUAUUUAGCUAACUAUAUGAACUGUUUUGUAUGACGCAUUAACUAUAUGAACUGUUUUGUAUGACGCAUUAACUAUUUGAACUGUUUUGUAUGUAGCAUUAACUAUUACAACUGUUUUAUACAUAGAGUUAACACCUGGUUCAUAUGUCGAGUUAACUGUUUUAUACUUGGCCUUAACAACUGUUUUAUACGUAGCAUUAGCUAGUUGAACUGUUUUAUUCUUAGCGUUAACGACUGUUUUAUAUCUAGCGUUAACUGUUUAGAGUUAACUGUUUCAACAGUUAUAUACGUGGAGUUAACUGUUUCAUACGUAGAGUUGACUAUUACAACUGUUUUAUACUUGGCCUUAACAACUGUUUUAUACAUAGAGUUAAAAACUAUUUUAUAUGUAGAGUUGACUAUUACAACUGUUUUAUAUGUAGUUAACUGUUUAUACUUGGCCUUAACACCUAUUUUAGACGCAGCAUUAACUAGUUGAACUGUUUUAGACGCAGCAUUAGCUAGUUGAACUGUUUUAGACGUAGCAUUAGCUAGUUGAACUGUUUUAUACGUAGCGUUAGCUAGUUGAACUGUUUUAUGUGUAGCGUUAACGACUGUUUAGAGCUAACUGUUUCAACUGUUUUAUAUCUAGCGUUAACUAUUACAACUGUUUUAUAUUUGGCCUUAACUGUUUUAUACGUAUAGUUAACUAUUUCAACCGUUUUAUAUCUAGCAUUAGCUAUUACAACUGUUUUAUACGUAGAGGUAGACGCCGCAUUAACUAGUUGAACUGUUUUAUAUCUAGCGUUAACAACUGUUUAGAGUUAACAGUUUCAACUGUUUUAUAUCUAGCGUUAACUAUUACAACUGUUUUAUACUUGGCAUUAACAACUGUUUUAUACGUAGAGUUAGACACAGCAUUAACUAGUUGAACUGUUUUAGACGUAGCAUUAACGACUGUUUUAUACGUAGACUUAACUGUUUUAUAUGUAGAGUUAAAUAUUACAACUGUUUUAUACGUAGCGUUAACUGUUUUAUAUGUAGAGUUGACUAUUUCAACUGUCUUAUAGCUAGCGUUUACUGUUAGAACUGUUUUAUAUGUAGCGUUAAAUAUAAGAACUGUUGUAGAUGCAGAAUUAACUAGUUGAACUGUUUUAUACGUAGAGUUAAAUAUUUCAACUGUUUUAUAUCUAGCGUUAACUACUGUUUUAGACGUAGCAUUAACUACUGUUUUAGACGUAGCAUUAACUACUGUUUUAGACGUAGCAUUAGCUACUGUUUCAUACCUAGAAUUGACUAUUUCAACUGUUUUACACUUAGCGUUAACAACUGUUAUAUGUAGCGUUAACUAUUGGGACUGUUUUGUUGCAUUUAGCUACCUAUUUGAAGUGUUUUAUAUAGCAUUUGUCUGACUACUACAACUGUUUUAUGCGCAACUUUUAACCGUUUUAACCAUAUAUAUUGCGUUCAGCUAACUGUUUCUUUAAUUUCGUACAUUACGUUUAGCUCAUUAUUUGAACUGUGCAUAAAGUCAAACCGAAACGGGUUUGACUUAAUUACUGAGGUGAAUUUACCCACUGAUUUGUCACCUGAAGAUCUUAUAAUCUAACAUCUUUACACUGUUUUUAAUUAUAACUGGUCAGAGCUGAUACCUGAUCCAUGUUCCUGGUCUCUCUCCACCUCUCCUCCCCCUCCCCUGUCUCUCUUCUCUCCCCUCUUUUCCCCGCUCACCCCAACCGGUCGAGGCAGAUGGCCGCCGCCCACAUUGAGCCUGGUUCUGCCGGAGGUUUCUUCCAGUUAAC